AUAUGUGACCUCCAAAAGAUAUAGUUCUUGGGCUUUUUUUUUUUUAAACGGAUUUCAAAGGCAGCUUUUAAAAGUAUUUUAAAAUACUGCUCAUUGACGGUAAGAGUUUUUUUGGAAUUAAAACGUACGGCCUAUUUACGUGAGGCCAUUGCACUUUUCCGAGCAUGCUUGCAGCUCACUAUGACUGUGCUGGACACACAGCGAGUGUGGCCUGGGAAUCACCUCCCAAGUAAAGCCUUUCAUGCAAUUCUCCAACCCUGUCUCCUCCCUGAGGCCUUUUCUCUGAGCGCUGACGCACGGAGUAAGUCUGAGUCACCAGAUGUCUGUGCUGAGCAGAGAGGGCCUCUUCUCCUCCCUCGCCACUGUUGGACCUUGACGCAAACAAGACAGAAACCUGUGUUUCAUAGAUCCAUUCAAUGUCGUGUUUUGUUUUGUGUUGUUUUUUACAGCAGUAAACCUCACUUGACUGAUUCAGAAGCCCAGUAAAACGAUCAAUGAGAUCCUCUUUCUAUAUCAGUUCCUGAGAAAGGGUUCAUUCCUCAGGAAACACAUCGAAGCAAAGAUCUGCUGGCAGAAGAUGAUAACUGCAUGAGAGCCUCGAUAAACCUCUUUUUCAAGUUCAGGAUGAGCCUACAAAUUCUAUGUUGUCAUGCAGUCCUGGAAUCCACUGUCCAGAGCUGUGGCUCAACACUAGACGACAAGACCGGAAGGUGAAUAUGUACUCUGGAUGCUCCAAGUCAUCUACGCCGUAUGCCCCAGAUUGUGUUACGACAGCUCUACACAGACAUUUCUGAUGCUGAAAGCCCUCUGUCACCCAUGCCUGUUUAAAAUCUAAAAAUGAGAGCAUGAGAUAUUCAAGAAAGGGAACUUGGUGCCACAUCAUACUCAAGCAAACCUGAUGAAGGAAGGAUGAUAAGGACUAUGGAUAUAUUAUCAACGCCUCUCAGGUGCUGCUUCAGAUUCCCGCUUUACCUAUUUUUGGAGCCCCUGACGCCUUGCUCAUCUCUGGCUGCUGCUUGGGUGUUCCACUCCCCAUGCAUGCUGUCAGAUGCAAACUGGAACUCUCUUGUCGGCAAACAUUGACCAGUGGAGGAUGGAAGAAACACAAAGAAAAGCCCCUCUCCAUUUCUCCUUUUAUGUCCAUUUUGGAGCAUUGUGUCUGUUUUAUACCCUGUCUGCUGAUGUAGCAAGUAACAGGGCGAAUAUUCUUGUCUCUCCAUGAAGCAAGGCCUUCUGGUUAAUCCUUAUGCCUUUGUUUCUCACUCUUCCUUGUCCUAUAUUUUUUUAUGCUGCUCUGGAAUUUCUCAAAGUGUCAGCAUUCAAAAAAAUUUGAAAAAUGUAUUCUGCAAUGUCCAGUAUUGAAACAGAACAGAGAUAGACUAACUUAUUGUACUUUAGUCAAAUUACUUUGGGACUUCUUCUUUUCUAAAAGCAGAGGAAUGAGAGGUAUUCCAUUUGGCCUAUAGCCAAACCUGCAUAAAUAAGGAUAUUCACUCUCAAACGAAGUGGUUAGACUUGAUUAUCUCUCAGUCUCUUCCAGCAUCUUUCUGUUUAUUAAAAUGUGGUCAAACUUGAAGAUUCAGGACUCAACAACUAUUCUCAGAACUUGAAUUAAAAGAACACUUGAAACUUGCAUUUUGUAUUCUCAAUGCAGUAUCUCCUAGUAAAAUUAUGAGAAUUCCUAAGAGAAAUGAUACUCUUUAAGUGGUUCUAAUUAUGAAAAGCAAUAGAGUUUACAACACUGUAUCCUGUAAAGCAAGUUCUGCCAGGAGAGUUGAUAAAAUGUGGAGUUAGAAAGUUAAUUACUGACAGUUCAGGCGUAUUUGGACUUUGGUUGUAUAGUUAAAAUUCCACAUGUGGAUACACAGGAAAACAUUCUCAAGAGAAAAUUCAGAAAUAGGAAUCUUGUGAGACCUUCUUGGCUAAUGGAAAUACAGGGUCUCUAUCUUCAGAAUAAGACAAUAUUUUUAAGGGGCCCCUGGGUGGCUCAGUUGGUUAAGCAUCCGACUUCAGCUCAGGUCAUGAUCUCACAAUUUGUGGUUCAAGCCCUGCAUGAGACUCUGUGCAGACAGCCCAGAGCCUGGCGCCUGCUUCAGAUUCUGUGUCUCCCUCUAUCUCUGCUCCUCCCACGCUCAUAGUCUAUCUCUCUGUCUCUCUCUGAAAAAUAAAUAAACAUGAAGACAAUAAUUUUGAGUACAGGUAACCUCCAUUUCACCAUAGGUUGACUGACUUCUGAUUCUUUGGUGUUAUUUUUUGGGUUUUUUUUGUUUGUUUGUUUUUCUUUUUUAAUUCUCUUGUGGCAGAGAAGCAACCAGUAAUUAUCAAAUUAAUGUUUCUAACUUUCCAAAGCCACUUGGUUUUGAUUCUCAUGUUUGCCAUAAAAAUAUGUUUUCCUGUUUGAACCCAAAUUGCCAUGCAAUAUUUAUUAUUUAAAUUUUAUGAAUGAGGAAUAUAAAAUAAAAUACAAUAAGCAGAAUAGACUUUCUUCUACCCAAUAGAAAUCCUGGACUCAAUACAAAAGGAACAUAUUUUUUAUUAUAGCAUAAAAAUUUUUAAAAAGAAAAGAAUUUGUCAAAGCUCAAAACCCAGAGUAUAUGCAGUCUGAGAGAAGUAGGUUAGAAAUGGGAUAUAACGAUUGGUCGUCUGGGUUAUCCUUGUGAUAAAUGGCAUAAGAGCUUUUCCCUAGGCCCAAGCAAAAUCAGACUCUAGAAUGAGUUGUCUGCACAACUAGGAGCCUGGCAGUCUUCUCCCCCUGGGGCAGGGAAUGAAAAGGAACCCAUGUGCAGCUCAAGAUAAGAAUAGAAAGUUUGGCUUUAACUUGAACCCAGGAUGUAGAAAAAGUUAUAGCAUCUACCAGGUGCAAGCACUGAGCCCAAAUAGUCACAUUCCCUUUGUUUAGACAUCUACAAGCCAAUAAUUAAUAUAAAAGGACAUAUAAGAUACCUUUUUGGUGAAAUCCACUGAGCAAUUCAUGAAAAAAAAACGUGAAAUUACUCUCUAGGAACAGUUAAUAUUGUGUCUUAUGAGAUAACCACAGGAGAGGAAGAAGCAGCUAAAGAUGAGCUAUCAGCAAAAUCAAGUCAAUCCAUCAAUGCUAAACAUUUUACCAUGAUGAAGAGAACACAAGCACAACCUAGGAGAAGAUUAGCACCCAGAAAAAGUGAAAUAGAAGAACAAUUUUAACGUGAUGUAAAAGCUAUUUAGAAGUAUUAGCGGGGCGCCUGGGUGGCAGUCUGUUGAGCCACCGACUUCGGCUCAGGUCACGAUCUCGCAAUUUGUGGGUCCGAGCCCCGCGUCGGGCUCUGUGCUGACAGCUCGGAGCCUGGAGCCUGCUUCGGAUUCUGUGUCUCCUUCUCUCUGCCCCUCCCCCCCACUUGGGCUGUCUCUAUCAAAAAUAAAUAAGUGUAAAAAAAAAAAUAAAAAACUCUUAGCAACAUAUAGGGGCACCUGGGUGGCUCAGUCAGUUAAGCAUCUGACUGGCUCAAGUCAUGAUCUCACAGUCCUUGAGUCUGAGCCCUGCAUCUCGCUCUGUGCUGACAGCACAGAGCCUGCUUAGGAUUCUCUGUCUCUGUCUCUCCCUUUCCCCUGCUUGUACUCCUCUCUCUUUCCUCAAAAAUAAAUAAAUUGGCAACAUAUGAAGAAGAGAAAUCAUAAUGAAAGAACAAGAUCUAUGAACAAAGGAAUAUGUAGAUUUGAGAAAAAGAAAAUCUAGAACUUAAAAUCUCAGUCACUGAGUUAAAUGGCUAAAUAUACCCAGAAGGAAAUUGGUAAAAAUUUAAGAAAGAAGUGAGGAAAAUACCCAAGAUUUGGAAUACAGAAAUAAAGGUAAUAUAAAAUAUGGGAGAAAAAAAAGCAGUCAGUAUUUUAAGACAACGUUCUAUAUAACAAAUCCAAAAAAAUGUAGAGAUAAAUUAUUGGAAUAAAUAAUAGACCCUUAAUGGUUUUCCAAAUACAAAAUAAUCAGAAAAUUAAUAGUUGUCCUUUACAGUAAAAAAAAAAAAAAAAAAAAAAAAAAAAAAGAGAAUUAGGCAAUCUAACUUUAAAAGGUGUAAUUUGUUUUGAGGGGGAGUGGGAGGCUCAGUUGGUUAAAUGUCCAACCCAUGAUUUCAGUUCAGGUCAUGAUGUCACAGUUCAUGAGUUCUGGCCUAUAUCAGACUCUGGGCUGGGAUUCUCUCUCUCCCUCUCUCUCUCCGCCCCUCCCUCACUCAUGUUUGUGCGCUCAUGCACAUGCACCCACUCUGCUCUCUUUCAAAAUAAUAAAUAAACUUUAAAAAAGUAUCCUUUGGUUUGAUAUUAUGAAAAAGUUCUUGUGAUGGUUGUACAACAGUGUGAAUGCAUUUAGUACCACUAAACUGUACCCUUAAAAAUUAUCUAAACAGUCAAUUUUAUAUGCAUAUUCCACCACAGUAAAACAAAAUCGUUUUUAUAUGCUAUGGCAACAAUAGCUGAAAAUGCCAUAUAAUUAAAUAAAAAUGUGCAAGAGCUUUUCAAAGAAAGUUAUAAAUUUCUACUGAAAUCAACAAAUGAGAAUCUUAUUGUAGAAUUAAACCAUGUUCAUAAAUGGAAGAAUUCAAUAUCUUAUGCAGAUUUUCUCUACAAUAAUGUGUAAGUUAAAUGUAAUUCUAACAACCUCAGAAGUAUUUUACAAUGACACAUGGAUAUUUCUCAUAAAAUUCAUAUUGAAGAACAAGUUAUUAAAAAUAGCAAAAUCAAUUUUGAAGUUGAUGAAGGUGGAUGAUUUAUCUCAUACAGUAUCAAACUUUACAUAAUGUUAUAGCUAUGCAAGGUAAGCAGAGCUCCACGAAUAUCUUUCACAGAGAUUGGGAUAUAUAAAAGAAGAGGAAACUGUGUUUAGAGGCUCUCUGGCAUACCCCAGCAACACCACAAAAAUGGAAUGUACUUAGAAAGUUGUUGGUGAAGGUUAUGCGUCUACUGGUUUGAAGACAUGUGAAAACAGAAACUGGAGCCAACCUUACUGUCUUAAGAAUUAUCAAAAUAUGAAAUGAUCUGGAGUAGUUUCCAUGAUGGGCUGAGUAGAGAAGGAGAUGGGGACCGUCCUGAAUUGACAUUCAAAGAUGGGAGUCCCCUGGCACAUGAAUGCCUUGGAUGACAGCUGAACUGAGUCACCCAGAGGUAUUCCUCCCAAGUAGGCAUAAUGUCAAGAUUAGGAGACCUGACUAUUUUGAAGGUAUAGGUUUGCUUUUUGGCAAAGGAACUGAAAUAGGAAGCAGGUGGCAAGACAUUAGCCAAAAUGUGCCUUAUCCAUGUCAUGAAACUUAGUAUUGUUUCUCCCAAGAACCCACCAAAGAACAUAGCUUGCAUUCCCUUAUCCCCUAAUAAGAUGUGGAGUGAGCUACACCUUGAGCAUUUAUGACCAAUGAAGAAAGAACUGGAAGAGCAGGACCACUGAAUGUGAGCAAACAACCACAUGAAUAAAAAAACAAGCACACAUAUAACCUGUCCCUUUUCUCUCUUGACUCCUUCACCUCUUUCAAUUUCUAGAAAAAUAAUGUGUGUGCCUGAGAUGUCACUCAGGAUGGGAAGACAUGAAUGAUCCUGCCAGAUGUCUGCAGUUGGAGAAAAACCAAAGCAUUUAUAAACCCCCUCUGAAUCCAACAUAUCUAUUAGAUAUAUUUUUAUAUCAAGAAAACUAAUAUAUAGAAAACUCAGAGUACUGAACCUUAUAAUCUUUUGGAAACUGGUAUUUUAAUAUUUCGGAACUCACUCUGAAUGGUUUGAAAAAAUAUACUGAUACCAUUUUUUCUAGGUAAUAAACAAAAAUAAAAUUAUUUUUACACCAUAGUUACAAUUAUUUGGUAUUACUUUGGUUUCACCUUAUAUACAAGAAGGAUCAUCAAAACAAUUUAGCAGAUAGGCUAAAGUUAAAAAACAAAACAGUGACUAGAGGUCAGGGUAAGAGUUUAUACUCAGAUGAUAUUUCUUGUAUUUUUUUCUUGACAUGGAAGAAAAAAAAUGAGGCAUGACUAUUUGCUGGAAGUACCUCGCUAAAUACAUCAUUAGAGUAGAAAUGCUGA